rnacentral:misc_RNA from 1 species
UGCGUUGAACCAAUUACUCGAGGAUAACAUUGACAAAUCCUUAUCCAGUCCGUAUUUUUGUCAAUGCGAGUUCACUGUCAACGGAAGUAAACAAUCAGCAUUUUGAUCAUGGCGGCAGAAGUGGGAGGGACCGAUAACGAGAAACGCGAAAGCGUGGUGAGCAUCGGCAGUACAGUGGCAUAUUCGUCAACAGACGAUACUUGUCUCAUAAAUUUUGAGCAGAAUGGAGAUCGGAGAGAGAAAAGUUUGAGUGAUUCAUUUGUUGUGGCAAAAUGCAGAUCAAAAGCAGACCCGGAAGGAGGUGAAACUGAAACUGACAGCAAACUUUGUGGAUGGCUGGUUAAGUACAGCAGCAUUGGGUUUGUAAAAACCUCAAAGCUACACUGGUUUAUUUUUGGUGAUGAUACAUGUAAAUUAUACUACUACAGACAGCCUCAGGAUUUAUUGCCACUGGGAGAAAUUGACAUUAAACAUGCUACUCUAUUUUUCGACGCCAGCAAUCGCGAAAAGCCUGGCUCGUUCGAAAUAAGAUCAGAUGGCAAGGUGUGGCAUCUAGAAGCACAAAACCAGCAGUGCAUGACCCUUUGGUUAGAACAGCUUCAACGAAAACGACGUCUUUACAACAAGCGCCGUACAGUGAUAUCGGAAAAAAUCACAUGGACUCAUAGAAAUAAACAAAAGGGCAGUGGAUUGACUGGACAAGAGCAAGGAGGAAGUGCCCAAGGAGCAGAGGAUCCUCUGAAUGCAACAGCUUCAUCCUCCACUGAUCGAGCAGAUUCCAUUCUGCAAGACGAUGCACAAGAAAUAACAAGCAGUAGCAAGACUGGAAUCUGGUCACUGGUCAACUUGCGCAAAGAAAUACGCAAUGCCGUUUCAGAUAUCCGCAUGCAGAUCUCCCCGACACAAGAAAAGCUGUCGCCACCACAUUCACCGUGCGUGGAAGAUGCCAAAGAAGAGUGGACCAUUCUAACUGAUGAUAUGGACUCCAACAACAUGCCACCUGUGUUUGCUGCAGUGCAGUCACCACCACCGCUACCACCAAACUCUUCUGCAGCUUUAGCCAAAUCUGGACAGAAAACUGGUGGCAAAUUUGCUUCAACAUUUAAGUUUUUGAAAGCAAAGAGCAGAACGCCCAGUGAUAGCAAGGAGGGUGGUUUGAAGAAGCAAAACAGCCGAUCAGGUAGCCUUUCCUGUGCAAAGUGCAAACAAUUGGAAGAUGAGAAAUUUUCUGCUCAAGAAGAACUAAAAGAUGUUGAAGAAGAGCUUCAGGCAAACAGGGAAAUUGUCAGGUUACUUCAGAAGGAGCUUGAUGUGAUACGAGUCAGCUUAGAAACAAGACUAGAGAGUGAGGGAAAAUCAAAUGAAGAGAUGGAUCUUAUGUUAAAGCAGCGAGACAAACAUGUUGUAGAGCUGCAGCACAGCAUGGCUACAUUGCAGGAAGAAAAAUCAUUGCUGGCACAACAGUCAAAGUUUGUCGAGAACAACUUGACAACUUUUCGUGAUCAAGUUUCAAUGUUGCAAGAGAUGCUGAGUGCCAAGGAUGAGACCAUCGUGCAGCUCACGCAUAAGAUUUUUGAGUUUGAGAGCAAUACCCAUGAUAGGGGUGAUGAUGGUGAACGGCAGCAUUUAGCUCCUUUGAUGCCUUCAGGGAUUGUACCUGAUGCAAAAGAGCUGGAGACAUUGAAGGAUACUGUCGGUGCCUACCAACUACAAAACAAGUUUCUCACAAAAGAGAUAACAGAGCUGAACAAACUGCGCAAAUACGAUGAACAGCGUGAAAAGGAAAUGCUGAUGAAUUAUGCCAAUUUAGAAGCUUUGUACUACCAAACACGAAGCAAGUAUCUUUUCCUCCUUAAUGAGAGACACGAACCUGUCAGAGGUGAUGAGUCCAACAAAACUGAAGAAGCCGUGACUCAGCUGUUGCAGGAAGCCUUGGAGUCUGAAACAGAAGGAGGGGCAGAUCACUCUCGGCACCAUUUUAUGUCUUCAUACAGUAUGGAGUAUGACUGCUAUGGCUUUCUAGUUUAUGCUAAGGAAGAAGAGACAGAUGACAUUCUUGUAGCUAAGGCUAACAAGCUGGAGUGGCAGUCACAUCAGCUGGCUAAUCGCAUCAAGGAUGAUACUGAAGCCACAUCCAGGCAAAUCAAAUGGGAAAAUUUCAUGGUAGGGCAGUCUGGAAAGCCGCUACAACGUUCACCUGAGCUGAAGGCCCUUGUUCGUAUGGGUGUGCCACAUGCGUUCAAGGAGCACAUUUGGAAGGGAUGCAUCAAUCUGCAUGUUGGUGCCACCCGUGACAAGUUGGGGCCACAAUAUUACAAGAAAGACCUUGGUGAAAGAAUAAAGAACAGCAAAUUUAAUCCGGCUGUCAAGCAGAUUGACUUGGAUCUGCUGCGGACACUGCCAAAUAACCGACAUUUUGACUCCAUGGACUCAGAUGGCAUACCUAAGCUGCGGCGUGUGCUUUUGUCCUACAGUGUACACAAUCCUCUUAUAGGAUAUUGUCAGGGCUUAAACAGACUGGUGGCCAUUGCCCUGCUAUUUCUGAGUGAGGAGGAUGCAUUCUGGUGUCUGGAGGCCAUUAUUGAGCACUUGAUGCCCAAGGACUACUACACAAAAACACUAGCUUCAGCUCAGGCUGAUCAGAGAGUACUCAAGGAAUUAGUUGCAGAAAAGCUGCCUAAACUCUAUGCUCAUUUUGAGCAGUAUGAUGUUGACCUGUCGCUCUACACCUUCAACUGGUUCCUUACCAUCUUUGUAGACAAUGUACGGCCAGAGACCUUCCUCUGUGUUUGGGACACCCUCUUGUAUGAAGGAAGCAAGGUUUGCACUUGCUUUCCUGAAGUAUGCUGAAGAGGAAAUUCUGUCUUUCAAAGAAGCACACCAGAUCUACCGUUUCAUGCGCGCAUUGGGAGAGAGGAUCACAAAUGUGAAGAAGAUCACACAUAUAGCAUUCCACGAACUGAACCCUUUUCCUAUGAGAGCCAUCACUAGCAAAAGGUUACAUCAUCUUCUGCAAGUCAGG